rnacentral:rRNA from 1 species
UACGAAGGGGGCUAGCGUUGCUCGGAAUGACUGGGCGUAAAGGGCGCGUAGGCGGUUUGUACAGUCAGAUGUGAAAUUCCUGGGCUUAACCUGGGGCUGCAUUUGAUACGUGCAGACUUGAGUGAGGAAGAGGGUUGUGGAAUUCCCAGUGUAGAGGUGAAAUUCGUAGAUAUUGGGAAGAACACCGGUGGCGAAGGCGGCAACCUGGUCCUUGACUGACGCUGAGGCGCGAAAGCGUGGGAGCAAACAGG